GAGGGGCUGCGGGCGCCGGGCGGGGCGGCGCCGGGACAAAGCGCUGCCUUGAGAGCGGCGGGAGGGCUCGCCGUGCGGCGGAGCGUCCUCCUCGCGGUCCCCGCGGAAGCCCCGAGAGCUCCCCGGGCACGAGAAGUUCCGACCGCCGGCGGCCGCCAGCUGGCACCGCGAACGGCGGUAAAAUCCUGCAGGUGAAGGGAAGCACCGUGCCUAACUCGCUGCCGGCGCUUGCGUUCUCACCCUGGGAACAAACGCUUACGGGCAGGGUUAGCUGGCGCACACGGCUGGGUGACGUGAUGGCUUCGCGUGAAACAGCGGUCCUUGCACUUGGGAAGAAGUAACACAGAAGAAGUGCAGCACGGUGGACCUGAUUUCGUUUUUAUUUUGCACGUGUGAAGUGUGGAAGUUUGUGGAGCAGCGGCACUGCUGUGAAACACUGAUUGCAGGGCUAUAAUGAGACUUAAAUAGCUGGGAAACGGAUUGGAAGAAGCAACAACAAACCUCUGCCGUUCUGCCUCUGCGACGUGGUCUUUGCUUUGCUUUUUGAAAGGAGGUGCAUCUUCACACAGACUUUUUUCUUAUAGUUCCUGAGAUUUACUGUCAACUUCCCCCCAGAAUUCCUUGAAUUACACAGCCAGUUUUUUCUCUGCCACUACACCAAAAUCUUUAUCUAGCAACUACUUGUUUAUAUUAGAAAUGUUUUCUUGUCCACAGAAAGUAACACUUUGACACAUCAGGAAGAAAUCAGAGGCACAGGUCAGGAGGAAAAAGCACCCAAACAGCCCUGUGUUCUCUAAAGCAAAGGUCUCUUCUCCCACAUCUUGCCUUUUGAGCAGGCCUAAAAUCAUCGCGGCUAUUCCCAUGUAACAAACAGUAUCUUACAAUUACAUAAUACCUUGUGGAGCCAGCACACCUCAGAGCACUGGCAAUGAUGUCUUAGCAACAAUUCUGGGAAUUUCCUUAGCAGUGCUGAGGCACCUCGCCAUUGCUUCACACGGAAGCAAGGAUGAUCUUGGUGACAACAGCAGCAAGUUACAGUGCUCACCUUUGCUCCCACUUUGCUUCAACACCAGCGAUGCACGCAGCAUUCAAGGUGCACAGCUGGCUGUAAUGGAACAACCCUUUUGCUCUGCAUUGGGUGGUUACUUUCACCUUCUCAAGUGAAGUACCCAGGGACCAACACAAGCCAGUGAUGACCUCCCCAGUGCUGGCAGUGGCACCUGGAUGAAGUUCAGCUCUGCAGCUGAAGCCUGCUGGACCUUUGCACUGUAAUGGCAGAGCUCACGUGGGUACAAGAUAUGGCAUGGAGGUUGGGCCCGCAUCCCUUGGAGCUGAGGACUUUGGCUCUCACAAGCUGCUACUGCCAGGAGCCCAGCAAAUACCAUUUGCCUGCUUUUUCUAAUGUGGUUUGUUUUGUAUCCACAAAAUCUUUAUCAAAGGCAGAGAAAGAAACAGAUGAGCAUGAGCUUAGAACAAGGAGGAAAAGGGAGGACAAAAUGCCCUUUUAAUGCAGAAAAUCCUGUCUCUUCCUCCACCCCAUUGCUUCAAACGAACUUUUCACCUCCCACACAGAGCUCUGAGCCCUGGGCAGCCCUGCCAGCCACCAGGCCCCACUCCUCUGCUACCCAAGGAGACCUGAGAUCCUGCUGGGCACUCCCACGACAUACCACAGAUAAAUAAAAAAAAGCAGAAAAACCCUAUCAUGAUGUAGAGCAAAACCACCAGAUGAAUGGGAGUACCCCCUUGGGUGGCCUCAGGCAGAGCGUGACUGAUAGGUCCAGCCCCCAGACUACAGUCACAAAUACAAUUCAAUAUUGUUUGAGGGAAAAAGUAUUCCUUUUUCUUGCUGUAAUAGCAAAGUUGUGGCUGGCUCAUGGCAGCGACCUUUUCUGAGAGCUCCCUGCCCAGAGAGAGAUGCAGAAGUGGCUUCCAGCAUCUCCUCACAUAGCAUCAGCCACAUUAAAAGUGCUGCAUGCUACCAUCGGGUAACAGUGAGACGCAGCCUGCCAGCUAUGCUCGGAAGUUUAUCCAACCCUUAGCAGGGGAAAGCUCAGCAACUUGCAGCAGGACAAAGGAAGGAAGGGAGGGAGCUUUCCAGAAGCACGGAGACAGGCAGUGCUGCCCCUAGGUGCUGCUCCCCAGCCUCUUCUGCCCCUUUCAAGUGCAGAAAAAUAUGUAAAAACUUUUUGAUAAUAUAAAGAAUGCAUUUACUCAAAAAUAUUGAGCAGUUACCACUAGAUGGCAUUUUGUUCCUGAGAAAUUAGAAACACCCACAUUUUGAAUUACUCGUUACAGACAGCAGGAAAUAGCAGGAAAUGAAAUUACUUACCUCAUUCGGUUAAUAAUUUAUUAUCCAUCGUCUUGUAUAAGGAAGACAUCACUAAUACAAGAUAAUUUUACUUGCAGAUGUAUAAAUCCCCUUUAACUACAGACUGCAGCUCCCCUCCAGCCCCCUCUGCUUGGUAGAUGAGGAGCAGAGUCGCAGUCAGCACUUACCAAAAAUCUUUACCACAUUUUUAAAUGAAACACAAAUGUAAGCCAGCCCUCAGACUUGGAGCAUGCCACAGACAUCUGCCAGAAAUGCUUUGCUCCAGUAACUGUGUGCUGCAUUUCCUGUGUUAUUUUUGGAUAAAGCCUCAAUACAAAUUGCAGUACCAAAAUCAUUCCCACUUAGGACCAGAGCUGCUACAAGCCCCAGUUACAGACAUGAUACUUUGAGCCAGGUCAUUUGAAUUCCAACGAGGAGAAGCAAGCUGUGAUGCACAAGACGACAUUUCCAUUCUCCGUCUUUGCAUGGUAAAACACACCAUGCUCAGAAGUGCAGUGCAGUUGUACUUUCCAUACCGUGAAGCGGGGUGGGGGUGGUUUGCUCAGUGUCCACAGGCUGCUCAGUACCAGAUGAAAACAAAACAUUUCCUUUAAUGUGCAGCAAAAUGUAAGACUGAGAGGAGAACUACCAACUUCAAAGGAGAAAGACUAGAGUACAUUUAAUUCUUACUUGUGGAAUGUCAAAACAGCAUCAAUAAACAUAAUUUAAUGUUGCUUCCAUGCAAAUCUAUGCAAUAUCAUGGCGAUGUUUUUUCUCAUUAGAUGAUCAUAAGUACCACUGUGCUAUGUGCAAUUUGUUCAACAGUUAAUCACAGCACAAUUCAGCAGCCUGGAUACUGACUGCUGCUUAACUGAACAUUGAUACGGCAACGCCACAGAACCUGUGAAGCAAAGGAAUGCUAGAGGGGACAGGAAUGAAGGAAGGGCUGCCUGCUGGAUAUCCAGUCAGCUAAGCUGCAGUGAGUUCCCAGGCAAAAUGAGGGAAAAAAUAAAACCAGUUUCUGGAUGCAAGGCAUUUCAGGUCAGAAGCAAUCCCUGAACCAAACUCUUUUAUCUACUACAUAUAGCAUUUUCUAUGGCAGAGAACAAAGUCAUGGCUCUCCACAGUGUAAGACCUGCUCAGUGAGGGCUGAUAUCCUUCUUCCAUUCAGUGUCUCUCCUCAGGGUUCUACAUUAGCCCCACAAAAUUGUCUCCUAGUAAGCACUGUUUCUGUAGUUAAUUUAAUUUUCCACUGGAAUUCUGAAAGAAAAAACAAUCUCAAAACAAAACCACAAAGAAUUCCACACGUGCUG